GAUGAACGCUGGCGGCGUGCCUAAUACAUGCAAGUCGAGCGAACAGAUAAGGAGCUUGCUCCUUUGACGUUAGCGGCGGACGGGUGAGUAACACGUGGGUAACCUACCUAUAAGACUGGAAUAACUCCGGGAAACCGGGGCUAAUGCCGGAUAACAUGUUGAACCGCAUGGUUCUACAGUGAAAGGCGGCUUUGCUGUCACUUAUAGAUGGACCCGCGCCGUAUUAGCUAGUUGGUGAGGUAACGGCUCACCAAGGCAACGAUACGUAGCCGACCUGAGAGGGUGAUCGGCCACACUGGAACUGAGACACGGUCCAGACUCCUACGGGAGGCAGCAGCAGGGAAUCUUCCGCAAUGGGCGAAAGCCUGACGGAGCAACGCCGCGUGAGUGAUGAAGGUCUUCGGAUCGUAAAACUCUGUUAUUAGGGAAGAACAAAUGCGUAAGUAACUGUGCGCGUCUUGACGGUACCUAAUCAGAAAGCCACGGCUAACUACGUG
rnacentral:rRNA from 1 species